GUUCAGCCACACCGUACUGACAUUAAAGCUUGGUUACGAGCCAAAUUCCACCCUCAGGCAUGCACGUGCAAUUCCUGUUUACUUCAGUGGUAGCUGUGCUGUGCUUAUCUAAGGGCACAGCUUGGACGAAGUAUUUAUCUGUUGAGCGUCAGGGUCGGGAACAAACACCACACACCCGCAUACCUUUUUACAGCCACAUUUUCGGCUCCUUUUACAAGCCUCCCUGAUGAAACACCCCCAGGCCUGAAUUACAGACCGGGACACCAGAAAGCAGAAGACAAGCAAAGCAGCUCUCCAAGCAGCCACCAAGCCCCUCCUUGUUGCUCCAGCCAGGCACGAGUCCUAUGACCAGAGUCAGAUGCUAUCAGAUCAAAGGCUGUAUUCAUCGAGAGUGAAGCCGAUUCGGGGAGGUAACCAAAGCGCAGAGGGACUUGGCAAGCAGUUUGUCCUCGGGGGGAAUGCAGAGUUCAAGAAACUCCUGAAGAGUGUGGGAGGAGGAAGACGAGCCUUUGACAUGGAUUCAAGCAGCGUGAUGGGUUCCAGAAGGAAACACAAGGGUCUUUUUACAAACGGGAGAUAGUGACGUGCAGGGGGAAUCUAAAAUCAUUCAUCUCCUGAGUGCCAUUCAUUCCGGCUGAUCCAGGGAGGUGAGACUUGCUCCCCCAUGCACCAGCCUGGGCUGCAGGGAAUAUUCACCCGCAGGGAGAACUGCCUGGUGUACCAGAGCCCUCCUCUCUCACUCUAAAUUGCUGUCAGAGCCUCCCCCUCUUGGACUGUGCUGGCCCCUGGCAUGUCCCCCACAGGAGAAGAACAGCCCCAGUUAGCCUCCAGAGUUCUUUCUGCCUCAGCCAGAGCCUGACAGAAGACAAGCAGGCCCUAAGCUGAAUCUAGCACUCUGAAGGGAGCUAACAUUAAAAGGGAACUAAGAUCCCAAAUCAGCCAGACCCUGAUCCAAAGCCAUUGGGAUCUAUGGGAGUCAGCUCAGAGUCCAGGAGCUGAUCCUCAGCUAGUGGAAACUGCUAUAACGCCACUGACGUCAGUGAAGUUAUAACAAUUCCCCAAGUGAACAUCUGUGUAGACUUAAAGGUUCAACCCUCUCUAAGCUCAAAAGCUUGUCUCACUCACCAACAGAAGUUGGUCCAGUAAAAGAUAUUACCUCCCGCACCUUGUCUCUCCAAUAUCCUGGGACUGACAACAACAUGGCAUGACCCUCUCGAAUGCCUUUAUUUACCUGCCGAGACCUCAGGACAAUGAGCCUAAAUUUUCCCUGGUAGAGACAGAGCUGUGCGGAGAAUGGUAAUUCCAUUUUGCAGAAGAUGUUGAUAUUUUGAAAUUUGGUUUUGUUCCGAUUCAGAGUGAAAAACAGACUAAAAAUGACUGUAAUCAAGUCAACCCGCAACCUUCUCUUUGCUAAGCUAAAUUUAGCUCCUUGAGCCUAUAUUAUCUAUGUGGUCUAGGAAAUAUUUAGUCCUGCCAUGAGUGCAGGCGAUUGGACUAGAUGACCUCUUGAGGUCCCUUGCAGUCCUACGAUUCUAUUGGUAUAAAGCAUGAUUUCUAAUCCUUUAAUCAUUGUCAGGGCCCUUCUCUGAACCCUCUCCACUUUAUCAACAUCCUUCUUGAAUUGUGGGCACCAGAACUGGACACAGGGUUCCAGCAGUGAUCGCACAAGUGCCAAAUACAGAGGAACCUCUCUGUUCCUUCUGGAGAGCCCCUUGUUUAUGUAUCCAGGGAUCACAUCAGCCCUUUUGGCCACAACAUCACACUGGGUACUCAUAUCCACCAUGACUCCCACAUCUUUUCUAGAGUUACUGCUUCCCAGCAUAGGGUCUCCCAUCCUGUAGGCAUGGCCUACAUUCUUUGUUCCCAGAUCUAACAUUUACAUUUAGCCAUAUUAAAAUGCAUAUUGUUUGCAUGUGCCCAGUGUACCACAUAGUCUAGAUAACGUCUUUAACCCAUUUACUGUGUGCCGUGUUAAUUGUACACUGUUCCAGUUAUUUAAUCAAAAUGUCACGUAGCACCAAGUCAAAGCACCAGAAAUCUACGUAUAUAACAUCAGCACUGUUACCUUUAUCAUCCAAACUGGUAAUCUCAUCAAAAAAAGAGAGCAGGUUAGUUUGACAGGGUCUAUUUUCCAUAAACCCAUCUUGAUUGGUUUUAAUUAAUGACCCUUCUUUAAUUUGUUAUUAAUUUAGGCCCAUAUCAGCUGCUCCUUUAUCUUGCCUGGGAUUGAUGUUAAGCUGACAGGCCUAUAAUUACCCAGGUCAUCCCAAUUACACUUUUUAAAAAUUGGCAUAUUAGCUUUCUUCCAGUGUUCUGGGUCAACAUAGCUGAAAGAACCACACCCCGACUGACAUAGCUAGGCAGACCUACCCCCAUGUAGACCUACCCCCAUGUUGAUCGAAAAAAUGCUUUACUUGAUGUAACUACCAUUGUUGAGGGAGACUGUGUUCUUACAGUGCUGGAAAAACCCCUUCCAUCACUGUAGGCUGUGUCUACACUACAUGGUUAAGCCAGCAUAGCUACACCGAUGUAGCCAAAGUGGUGUAUUCCCCUAAGGGUACGUCUUCACUACCUGCCAUUCGGCGGGUCGUGAUCGAUCUAUCAGGGAUUGAUUUAUUGCGUCUCAUCUAGACGUGAUAAAUCGAUCCCUGAAUCGACGCCUGUACUCCAUCUUGGAAGGUUGACUUGCUGCCGUGAGGACAGCAGGGUAACUCGAACUAAGAUACUUUGACUUCAGCUACACAAAUAGCAUAGUGGAAGCUGCGUAUCUUAGUUCGAAACCCCCCACCCCACCAGUGUAGCCCAGGCCUAAGUGUAGACACAGCCUGAAUCACAAUUUGUUUCCGGGUCAGUUCUGGGGUGAUGCAGCUACGUAGCACUCUUUCCUCAGCACAAACUGUAGUUACUGCAAUAUGCAGUACUAUAGAACUUUUGCCUCCAUAUGCGUAUUUACCAAAAUGUCAAUACCUUACUGCAGCAAGACUGUGUGGCUUCAUGGUUAGAGCCCCAGACAGGGGCUCCAGAGUCCUGGGUUCUAAUCCCAGCAAUUUCACUACCCUGCUGGGUGACUUUGGACAAAUUACUUCCCUCCCCAUGCCUUAGUUUCCCCAUCUGUAAAAUGGAGCUAAUGAUCCUUUGUAAACAGCUUUGAGAUCUGCUGAUGAACAGUGCAAUAUGAAAGCUAGGCAUUAUUCUUAUUUAAAAUAACUAAGUGUGAUGAGGAAAGGAAAACUAGCUCAAAGUGCAGUUUAGAAUCCCGAAUCCAAAAGCAAAACCUGCUGGUGGUAAGUGAAAAUGAAAGGGAGCCUGGUCAAGAUGAACUCCCUGCGUCCUGCAACACAGCAAGUAAAAAUGCCCCAGAAUACAAAUGAGAACUCCUACCUGACUGCAGGAAGAAAGUGGAGAUGGAGAUAUUUUCUGCUCUAGCGUAGGCUCCAGAGACCAAGACAGAAAUCUUUGGAGAAGGGAAGAGAGGUGGGAGAAUUCCCAAAGGAAAGGAAAUUCUAGGCUGAAAAAGGAAGAUUUAUGUCUUCCCAGCAUCUGGUCCUGGCUUCCUCUCCUUUCUUCUCACUGCUGAACGUAUGGAAUGCCCUUGAAGGACAGGAAGAAACAACUCUUCAUUAACAGUUAUGAUCUUCACAAGAGCCCCCAGUUUGGAUGUGGCAGAAAUUCCUGAGGAGCUAAGACAGGAUGAGAUCAGAAAAAAUGGAAGGCUUAGAGGGGAGCAACAAAUGUCAGUUGACCAGACAGGCAAAUCAAUGGUAGGGCAAACUCAGGAAACAGAUGGUUCAGAGACCACUUGAAAGUCCAUGUGGUCGCUCCAUGAUGAACACCAAAAAUUAAUUUUCUGCUGCCCCCAGCCUGCUAUGUAAUGGCCAACCAACGGGGGAGCAGUAAUAAUGCCACUGGACAUAGGUGACCAAACAUAGCCUGAAGAACAAAUCCUGAUCUUCUAGUUUAUUCUGGUCAUUGCAACAUUUCCAACUCAUGACUUUAUUGCAAGGCUUGCAAGCACCAGCUCCUAGAUAAGGAUAAACAGAUUGCAGAAGAACCUCAGCUUUCAUUAAAAAAUGAAUUUCUAGCCCUCCUGGAUGCCAAGAAAAGCUUGAAAGUGGGCCUCAGUUGAACCCUAAAGACUCCAGAAGGAGACCCAGGACAAAGAUACAAAUAAUUCAACAUUUAUUUUUCUUAAACAGUCUCAUGAUUUUCAAGCCAAUCUCCUAAUCUGUUGAGGCCCGACUCCUAAUAUCUGACUGCUUGGAGCUGGCAAUAUUGUUCUUAUAAUGUGCUUUUUGUCAAUAAGCUCAUAUAGAAACUUUGGGACCUGCUUCAAUUAUCUGGCAUGAGUUGUUCAUCCACAAAGCAAAUCUAUUAAUCAAUAUGUAAUCUUUCAACGAAUAUUUAGACAUGCGCAUUUCAGAUGCUAGGUUGUUCAUAGACUGUACACCUGGACUACUCAUUAUUUGCUCUAUGUGAUAGUUGGUCACAUGGUAUUGCUUCUGCUCCUCGACUGGAUAACUGAAAGUUUUGAAUAAGUACCAGAAAACAAGCAUUCUUAUUUGCAUGAAAAUACAGAUGUUGGCAUGGACAACACAACCCCAUUUGUGCAAAUAUUUGUAAAUAGGGAAUAAGGCCUUGUCUAAACAAGGGAAACUGACUACCAGAUAUUCUGGAAUAACUAUUCUGGUAUAAUUUACCUUUUCUGGAAUAACUUCCCUAUGUGAAUACGCUAUUCCAGAAUGAAAGUGAUUUCAUUCCAGAAUAAGUAUUUUGUUUCCAAAGCAGAGCAAUUACUCUGGAGUAAAGUCAGCUUUAUUUCAGAACAGGGUGUCCAGAUGGGAGUUAUUCUAGAAUAGUUAUUCCAGAAUAGCUAGUCAGUUUCCCCAUACAGACAAGAAGCAGCCUGAAUUUGGUUGACAUAAACAGCUGUUUGAGAUAUGCAUGUUCAGAACUGUUCUACGUUCCAUGGUUUGUAACAGCUCCCUAGGGGUCAUAAUACAAGCGGGAGAUCACUAACGUGCUGCAUGGUCGAGCCACGCCAUCUCCAACCACUGAUGCACCUGUCAUGGUCACCAGUCUUGUGACUGGUCCACAAACAAUUUCCAUUAACUUCAGGGAGUGUCAAGCAUCACCAGCACUUUCUAAUCCAUAAUCCUGGUCUUUAAAUAAACUCGUCCUGAGGCCUUUCCGUUUGGAGGCCCAUUAAGGCUGUGCCAUUAAGGAUGUCCAUAGACAACUGGCUCAUACGAAAAUGUUUAAUAUUUCCAUCUUAUUUUCUACCACCUUCUUUACACAGCCUAGGAUCUGAAUUCCUCCUUGCUGCUUAAAAAAAAAAAAAGUGACUGUACAUUGACCGGAUGACAUCAUCUUACUUUUUUCAGGUUUUUAGAGGCAUCUAAGUUAUAAAAGGGGAAGGUGUGAGCAUGUGGAUGUUGGGUGGCGAAUAGUGUCAUGAAUAGAGAAAUAAAACAUACUCACUCCAAGCGGAAGCGUGAGAAUUGAGAAAGAUACACACAUGCAUUGAAAACCAUUUGGUAGGUUCCAUAUACUAAGUGACUAAAAGAUAUUCUCUGUUUAAAAUCAGUAUCUAUAUCAGAAGGCUUUGUAGGUCUUCUAGCUUAGAUGGAACACACACACACACACACACAGAGCCCUCUGGUAUUGACUCUGCAAUAUACGGCCUGUCAUAUGUUCUCUUUUAUAAUGUGGACUGUCCCAUAAAGUAGGACAUUUUAAACAUGAGCGCUGCCAUUAAGAAACUGAAACAGUCGCUUAUCAGUCACAGGAUGUCAUGGAGCUGUCUCAGGUUGUGCUUGAAAGCCCCCCUGCAACUUACUGAUAAAAAGCUUAACUCCUUCUCAGGGCUUAUCUGAAGAAGAAAGAAUUAGACCCUCAUGAAAUAACAGGGUUUUUUAUAAGCUAAAAAUAAGAGAGCGAGAGAGAGAAAUCACUUAAAAACUUUAUAAUACAGCAGAACGAGUUUAACCUGCUGUGAUUUUCAGCUAAGGUUUCUGCUUCAUCAAGAAAGAACCCCGUUGUGAAACCUAUGUCAAAAGAGAAAAGAUGUGAGAGGCUGGUCUCUUUCAUAGAUUAGAAGAUUAAUUAAAACAAAAUCACAUAGUCAAAUGUCUUACUGGCGAAAACACACACAAGGCAUACCACUGUGUGUAUGGAAUAUGAGAGUAUGGAAUGGAUAAUCACUUUCAAUUGGACUCUGAUGUGAACUGGAUGAUGCUGAUUCUUGGGAGAAACUCAUGGAAUAUGGAUCUUAUUUCUGCCACACAUUGCGAUCUGCCAGCCUGCUGUUUUUGCACUGUAAUAUCAUUGCUGAACGUGGUUGAAUUGUUGGUUGCAAAUAAAUUAUCCAGCAUAGCCUUUAAUUUUUUCUGUUUAUAAAUCAUUUGCAAACCAAUCCUGAUUUCUGCAAAUGUCAUCAUUCCUCUACCAGAUAGUUUGCAGGAACAGUUAUCAGCCUGCGGGUAAAAUUUUCAAAAGUACUUAAGUGACUUAGAUAGAUGGAUCUAUCCUAUCUAUCUAAGUCCUCUGUUCAAAAGUUUUAUGGGACUUAGGAGCAGAAGUGCCUAACUCACUUUUGAAAAUGGGACCUCAAUCAUCUGAGCAGUGAUGGAUGCACUGUAUUCCAUGAGAGCCCAGACUUAAAGAUGCAGUGAUAACAGCUAUGUGACAAGGUUACGAUGCGCCAUGCAAUAGUGCUAAUAGGCCUAUAAAUUUAGCUAGUUAUAACCUGGAUCAUUCAAAUCUGCUGUAUAAUAUGUAUGUUUUAAUUGUCGGUGGCAGAGUGAUCCCGAUAAAUAUCAAGGGUCACGCACUUGAAGAAAAGCAGAGACUUAUUUGUAUGGGUGUUUUUUAACCUACAUUUGUGUGUCCAAUUACUGCAAUUUUGUACAUACAUCAAGUCUUUGCAUUUGCACAUUUCCAUAUAGAUACCUAUGAAGAUGGGCACAAUAUAAGAGCCUACAUAGAAUGGACUAGGUAUAUCCAGUUUGCAUGCAGAGUCAUGGGAAUCAUAGAAGAUUAGGGUUGGAAGAGACCUCAGGAGGUCAUCUAGUCCAAACCCCUGCUCAAAGCAGGACCAACACCAACUAAAUCAUCCCAGCCAGGGCUUUGUCAAGCCAGGCCUUAAAAACCUCUAAGGAUGGAGAUUCCACCACCUCCCUAGGUAACCCAUUCCAGUGCUUCACCACCCUCCCACUGAAAUAGUGUUUCCUAAUAUCCAACCUAGACCUCCCGCCUGCAACUUGAGACCAUUGCUUCUUGUUCUGUCCUCUGCCACCACUGAGACCAGCCGAGCUCCAUCCUCUUUGGAACCCCCCUUCAGGACCUCUCAACACACCGGACUUUAACAUCUCCUUGAUUAGAAACUGACUG